UGACGCUGGCGGCAUGCUUACACAUGCAAGUCGUAACGGCAGCACGUGCUGUAGCAAUACAGUUGGGUGGCGAGUGGCGGACGGGUGAGUAACGCGUAGGAAUCUGCCUUAGAGAGAGGGACAACCCGGGGAAACCCGGGCUAAUACCGCAUAAAGUUGAGAGACCAAAGGCUGGGGCAACCUGGCGCUUUAAGAGGAGCCCGCGUCUGAUUAGCUAGUUGGUGGGGUAAAGGCCUACCAAGGCGAUGAUCGGUAGCUGUUCUGAGAGGAUGAUCAGCCACACUGGGACUGAGACACGGCCCAGACUCCUACGGGAGGCAGCAGUGGGGAAUAUUGGACAAUGGGGGGAACCCUGAUCCAGCAAUGCCGCGUGUGUGAAGAAGGCCUUCGGGUUGUAAAGCACUUUAGGCCGGGAAGAAGGCGUGUUGUUUAAGAGAUGAGACGCUUGACGGUACCGGCAGAAUAAGCACCGGCUAACUCUGUGCCAGCAGCCGCGGUAAU
rnacentral:rRNA from 1 species